rnacentral:rRNA from 1 species
AACGAACGCUGGCGGCAGGCUUAACACAUGCAAGUCGAGCGCCCCGCAAGGGGAGCGGCAGACGGGUGAGUAACGCGUGGGAAUCUACCCAUCUCUACGGAAUAACGCAUGGAAACGUGUGCUAAUACCGUAUACGUCCUUCGGGAGAAAGAUUUAUCGGAGAUGGAUGAGCCCGCGUUGGAUUAGCUAGUUGGUGGGGUAAAGGCCUACCAAGGCGACGAUCCAUAGCUGGUCUGAGAGGAUGAUCAGCCACACUGGGACUGAGACACGGCCCAGACUCCUACGGGAGGCAGCAGUGGGGAAUAUUGGACAAUGGGCGCAAGCCUGAUCCAGCCAUGCCGCGUGAGUGAUGAAGGCCCUAGGGUUGUAAAGCUCUUUUACCAGGGAUGAUAAUGACAGUACCUGGAGAAUAAGCUCCGGCUAACUCCGUGCCAGCCGCCGCAGUAAAAC